GCAUAUCAAUAAGCGGAGGAAAAGAAACUAACAAGGAUUCCCCUAGUAACGGCGAGUGAAGCGGGAAGAGCUCAAAUUUAAAAUCUGGCGGUGUAUUCCGUCCGAGUUGUAGUCUAGAGAAGCAUCAUCCGUGCUGGACCAUGUACAAGUCUCUUGGAACAGAGCGUCAUAGAGGGUGAGAAUCCCGUCCUUGACAUGGACUCCCAGUACUUUGUGUUGUGCUCUCAACGAGUCGAGUUGUUUGGGAAUGCAGCUCAAAAUGGGUGGUAAAUUCCAUCUAAAGCUAAAUAUUGGCGAGAGACCGAUAGCGAACAAGUACCGUGAGGGAAAGAUGAAAAGCACUUUGGAGAGAGAGUUAAACAGUACGUGAAAUUGUUGAAAUGGAAACGCUUGAAGUCAGUCGCGUUCUCUGGGAUUCAGCCUUGCUUUUGCUUGGUGCAUUUCCUAGUCUACGGGCCAACAUGAAUUUCGACCGGUGGAAAAAGGCAGAGGGAAUGUGGCACCUCCGGGUGUGUUAUAGCCCUUUGUCAGACACGCCGGUUGGGAUUGAGGUCUUUCAAGUGCACGCUUUUAGUUGUGCUUUGAUGUUGGCGUAAUGGCUUUAAACGACCCGUCUUGAAACACGGACCAAGGAGUCUAACAUGUCUGCGAGUGUUUGGGUGAAAAACCCAUGCGCGUAAUGAAAGUGAUAAGUUGGGAACCCUUCACGGGGGGCACCGACGCCCGGACCAGACCUUCUGUGACGGAUCCGAGGUAGAGCAUAUAUGUUGGGACCCGAAAGAUGGUGAACUAUGCCUGCAUAGGGUGAAGCCAGAGGAAACUCUGGUGGAGGCUCGUAGCGAUUCUGACGUGCAAAUCGAUCGUCAAAUGUGGGUAUAGGGGCGAAAGACUAAUCGAACCAUCUAGUAGCUGGUUCCUGCGA
rnacentral:rRNA from 1 species